rnacentral:rRNA from 1 species
CCUACGGGGGGCAGCAGUGAGGAAUAUUGGUCAAUGGCCGAGAGGCGGAACCAGCCAAGUCGCGGGAGGGAAGACGGCCCUACGGGUGGUAAACCUCUUUUGUCGGGGAGCAAAGCGAGGCACGUGUGACCCAUUGAGAGUACCCGAAGAAAAAGCAUCGGCUAACUCCGUGCCAGCAGCCGCGGUAAUACGGAGGAUGCGAGCGUUAUCCGGAUUUAUUGGGGUUAAAGGGUGCGCAGGCGGAGGUGCAAGUCAGCGGUCAAAUUGCGGGGCUCAACCCCGUACUGUCGUUGAAACUGCAUCCCUUGAUUGCGCGAGAAGUAUGCGGAAUGCGUGGUGUAGCGGUGACAUGCCUAGCU